AGCGAACGCUGGCGGCAGGCCUAACACAUGCAAGUCGAACGAAGUCUUCGGACUUAGUGGCGGACGGGUGAGUAACACGUGGGAACGUGCCUUUAGGUUCGGAAUAACUCAGGGAAACUUGUGCUAAUACCGAAUGUGCCCUUCGGGGGAAAGAUUUAUCGCCGUUUGAGCGGCCCGCGUCUGAUUAGCUAGUUGGUGAGGUAAAGGCUCACCAAGGCUACGAUCAGUAGCUGGUCUGAGAGGAUGCCCAGCCACAUUGGAAGUGAGACACGGCCCAAACGCCUACGGGAGGCAGCAGUGGGGAAUCUUGCGCAAUGGGCGAAAGCCUGACGCAGCCAUGCCGCGUGGAUGAUGAAGGGCUUAGGAUUGUAAAAUCCUUUCACCGGUGAAGUUAAUGACUGUAGCCGGAGAAGAAGCCCCGGCUAACUUCGUGCCAGCAGCCGCGGUAACAC
rnacentral:rRNA from 1 species